GGAUUCCAGCCAUUGCUGCAGCUGCUCCACAGCCCUUUUCAGGACCCAAACAACCGCAGCCGCUGUUCCCAGGAUGGUGAUCCGUGUAUAUAUUGCAUCUUCCUCUGGCUCUACAGCGAGUUCAGCUUUGUUUGCUUCGUGACGUUGGGGGGCACAUUUCUGCUUUGAAGGAAAACGAAAGCUACCAAGUUUUGGGAGAUGGGAGAUGGUGCUAUACGGUCUUUAGGGUUACGUGAAGUCAAGUAAAAUCGCACACUGAUUAAGAAGAAACAACAAGAUGUGCUUGGUUUCCUAGAAGCCAACAAAAUAGGAUUUGAAGAAAAAGAUAUUGCAGCCAAUGAAGAGAAUCGGAAGUGGAUGAGAGAAAAUGUACCUGAAAAUAGUCGACCAGCCACAGGUUACCCCCUGCCACCUCAGAUUUUCAAUGAAAGCCAGUAUCGCGGGGACUAUGAUGCCUUCUUUGAAGCCAGAGAAAAUAAUGCAGUGUAUGCCUUCUUAGGCUUGACAGCCCCACCUGGUUCAAAGGAAGCAGAAGUGCAAGCAAAGCAGCAAGCAUGAACCUUAAGCACUGUGCUUUAAGCAUCCUGAAAAAUGAGUCUCCAUUGCUUUUAUAAAAUAGCAGAAUUAGCUUUGCUUCAAAAGAAAUAGGCUUAAUGUUGAAAUAAUAGAUUAGUUGGGUUUUCACAUGCAAACAUUCAAAAUGAAUACAAAAUUAAAAUUUGAACAUUAUGGUGAUUAUGGUGAGGAGAAUGGGAUAUUAACAUAAAAUUAUAUUAAUAAGUAGAUAUCGUAGAAAUAGUGUUGUUACCUGCCAAGCCAUCCUGUAUACACCAAUGAUUUUACAAAGAAAACACCCUUCCCUCCUUCUGCCAUUACUAUGGCAACUUAAGUGUAUCUGCAGCUCUACAUUAAAAAGGAGAAAGAGAAA
rnacentral:lncRNA from 1 species